rnacentral:rRNA from 1 species
AGGUUAUAUUCACUAUGCGGAUAAAAGCAGGCCUUAAAAGGGUUUCCUGCUAGUGCUUUGCUGCAGAGCAUUGUGCAACAUCGUCAAAUUGCCCGGAAAUUCCGAUAUGCCCCUGAUACUGCACAGGCAAUGGAAACAUUGCUGAUGCACCUUGGUGAAAGUCGAGGGUAUGGUAACAACUCAGAGGGAUAGGAACAAUGGGCAGCCAACUGCUAAAAGGAGUUUCCCAUGCAGGCAGUCCACAGACUAAAUGGCGAUGGGUUGAAAGCAAGGCAAACAACACUCGUGGUGGAUGUCUACAAGCGCUUAAGAUAUAGUCGGUCCUUGCCGAAAGGCAACCUGUGAGAGGAUUUCUCAGACUGAGAUUGAGAGCUCACAGGAUUCUGGGUAAUACUCUGCAUUGUAAAAUGCCAGAGGGCAGAUUUCAGCCUCCAGAAAUGGA